rnacentral:rRNA from 1 species
AGAUUGAACGCUGGCGGCGUGCCUAACACAUGCAAGUCGAGCGGUAACAGGUGUAGCAAUACAUGCUGACGAGCGGCGAACGGGUGAGUAAUGCUUCGGAAUCUACCUUAUGGUGGGAAUAACUAGCCGAAAGGUUAGCUAAUACCGCAUACGUCCUACGGGAGAAAGCGAGGGGAUCGACAAGACCUUGCGACCAAAAGAUGAGCCGAAGUCGGAUUAGCUAGUUGGUAGGUAACGGCCUAACCGAAGGCGACGAUCCGUAGCUGGUCUGAGAGGACGACCAGCCACACGUGGAACCUGAGACACGGUACACGAC